AUUUAAAUAGCUUAAGUAAGAGCGUAACACUGAAAAUGUUAAGGUAACUGAGGUUUUUAAAUA
rnacentral:tRNA from 1 species